CCGCUCUCCCAGCCACCGCAACCCACAAGAAAUAGCCUCUCUCUUGGCGCGGGUGCGGGAGGUCUCCGUUGCGCAAAACAUCGCAGGCAAAUAUUUUCAGAAAGUCGGAAUGGCAGAGUUGCAUUUUUUCCCAUUAGCUCCGAUUCAUAGUCGCGCGGCGACAUCAGACGUGCUGAGGGAGGACUUGGGCCUGCGAGGUGAGCGCGGGAGGCUCGGCGGCAGCGGGCUCUGUGGCAACCGCGGCCUCCGCACGAAGUUCAGCACCUGCCGUGGGGAUCCCUCCCUGCAGCGCCCCUGCAGUGUGGGUGCCUCCCCGCGGAGCACCUGCCCUACAGAUGCCUCCCCACAGAGCACCUGCAGUGUGGAUGGCUCCCCACAGUGCACCUGCCCUACAGAUGCCUCCCCACAGUGCACCUGCCCUACAGAUGCCUCCCUGCAGAGCACCUGCCCUACAGAUGCCUCCCCACAGUGCACCUGCCCUACAGAUGCCUCCCCACAGUGCACCUGCCCUACAGAUGCCUCCCCGCAGAGCACCUGCCGUGUGGAUGCCUCCCCACAGUGCUCCGCUCCGGAGAAGUCAAAACGGGAGCGGCGCUUUGGUGCUUUUUGCGUGGCCCCCCGGAGCCCGAGUCCACUGCAGCAUCCUUUCAGGAGCGGCGUCCCAUUAAGGCCUCCAGGUGCUGCUGAGGUUGCCAGCCAGACCCCUUGACUAGCUGUGCCUUCUGGGACCGUUAAUUCAGAUCCCCGUGCCUCAGUUUCCUCAUCUGCAAUCAUAAGCUGAUCAGGAGAGACUGUUUGAGGAUUCCGUGAGGCGCGUCUUGGGAAACAUGAUGUGGCGCCUACAGCAGCUUCUCCCUGGACGAGCCUGUUCAACCGGGAUUCUGGACCCUUCUCCUGGGGAUGCUGGGCUGGCAGGUCUGGGUGGGGCCCCAGAAUUUGCAUAUCUCAUAAGAUCUCAGGUGACACUAGUUCAGGGGGCCACACCUGGACAAUCGCUAGUCCAGAAGGUAAAACUUACUGGAGAAUUGGGGCUUCUUCCCCCGCGGCUAGAGCACAUCGCCGCAUCAGCGCAAGCCCCUAAAGGGACCCGGUCACGCUUCGCUCACCCUGGCAUCUACCUGCCCAGAAACUAGCAUAGUCAGUACUGAGGACGGAGUCAAACUGAGCUUCUAGAAGCUCUAGAAACCACAUAAUACAGUACUGCCGUACAGUCGGCCAGGGAACAGAAACCGGGGCUGCGACAAGAUCCCAGCUCUGCCCCUUGCUGCUUGUGUCCUGGGGCAAGUCUCAACUCCUUAAAGGCUCUGUUUUCUCAUUUGGGAAGUGGGUAACCUCUUCAUAUUGUGGGUGUAACACAUGCUUAUCUUGCUUAUUUCUAUUUCUAUUUCUUGAUCCUACAAAGCGCUUGGGCACUAUCCGGCACACGAAGCAGCCAAGCUUUCCGACUGCCGUGGAUGGCAGCAUUCGCUUCUCCCGCCUACCAGGUCUCCCCCCACUAGCAGACAGACAAGGGCCUCGCGUCGUCUUGUCUCUGAAAACUCGUGCUCUUUUCAGCGUGCUCUUUCUUUAUCAAUAAUACAUCAGGGACAGCUUUCUAUAUUAAAAAAUAACCUACAACAUUAUUUUAGUGCCUGCACAGAAUUCUGUUAUACAGAUACAUUAUAAUUGAUUUAUCAGAUCUAUGAGCUACAGUGUGAUGAAUACCUUGCAUGUAUUUUUGUAACUUUUUCAUAAAUUCUUUAUGAUAACUUAUGAAUAUUUGUAAUAUUUGUAAUAUUUUUGCUAGCUAGUGAUCAUUCAUUCAUUUAUCCAUCAAUUAUGAAUGGGUUCCUGGUAGGUGCCAGGCCUUUGAUUACAGCAGUGAACAAGUGCAGAUCAACGUGGUUCAAGAUCGUGAAAAAGCUGAUUUAUUUUUACCCAUUGGGGGUGCAACGUGUGUUUCACUCUUGAGCAGGAGAAUUCUUUUGUCCAGAUCUGCUAUAUCCCCUUGGCUGCAUGUGAGAAGCACCCAGGGAACUUGGGAAGCUCCGCGAAUGCCUGGCCUCCUGUGCGGCGAUGCUGGAGUGCGCGCUUUGGUUCUGAGAUGCAGGUGCUUGAGGCCUCUCGUCGCUGAUCCCAGGGAGCAGCCAGACUUGAAGACUGUGCGAGGAGAUGGCAGAUGGGUGAAGGGGAGAGGGGCCCAGGAUUCCCGUUACGGCUGAGCCACGGGAGCAAAAGGCCGAGCAGAAGGAGCACAGCCAGUGAUCCUGAGGAGCCAUGUGGCGGGGCGAGGGCAGCUGCACGCGGGGAGCGGGGCUGAGCCACGGGCUUCUCAGAUCAGGAAGCUGCACCUGAAACUAGUGCAACGUUAGGUGUCGGCUAUACUCACCCCCACCCCGCCCCUGACUGCUGAGGACUCUCACCCUUCCCUCAUCUGCUGCCUUAACCAGACCCGUUCCUCAAACUCUCUCAACUACACUUCGGUCUGUCUCUGUCUUGGCCUCAACCCACCUGGGAAAUAUGAGGAGCGUUUUGUAACCCUGGGAGGAGAAUAAAUAUCAGCCUUAUUUUAAUUUUUUUUUAUUG
rnacentral:lncRNA from 12 species